rfam:Triticum urartu cultivar G1812 contig491464, whole genome shotgun sequence.
GUUCUACUCCCUCCGUUCCUAAAUACUUGUCUUUCUAGGCAUUUCAACAAAUGACUACAUACGGAGCAAAAUUAGUGAAUCUACACUCUAAAACAUGUCUACAUACAUCCGUAUGUAGUAGUCAUUUGAAAUGUCUAGAAAGACAAGUAUUUAGGAACGGAGGGAGUAGCUA